rnacentral:lncRNA from 1 species
AAUAUAAAGGAUAUAAAAGAAAUAAAUUUUUUUUAUCAUAAUUAUUCUAUUAAAAAUAAUAAUACUCAAUAACAAAUUUUAUAUAUCUAUAUCUAUCUAUCUUUUAUACAUUAUCUAUACUACUUAUAAAAUAGAGAGUUUAAAAUUUUUUUCUUUUUCAAAAUAUCGGUUCCUAUUAAUAUAAUUCCAAUCACAUACAUACUAGCAAUAUCAUUUAUUCAACUUUAAUAAAAUAAAUCACAGUUGUAUAAUUUUUAUUUUAUAUUUGAAUUAUCAUAAAAUAUAUUAAUUUUAGUCGGAUUUAAUUCAAUGGCUGACAAAUUAAGUAUCUAUCACUUUUUUUAUCUAAAUUGUUCUCAAAUAGUGCAUAUCAUAUCAAAUUUCACUUUCUAUAUGCGUGCCAUAUUUUAUAAUAGCUGCCGUCCACAUAAUAUUAUAUUUUAUCAUAAAUAAUAUUCACAAUAUACGUAUUUUUUGAAUAUUUUCUUUCUCACACGCAAUAUCCGACACCUAGCUAUAUAAUAUCAAAUCACGUAACACCUUCCAUAUAUAUAAUAUUUAAUCAUAUUUUUUUAAAGGUGAAUAUAUUUUUAUAUCUCAAUUUUAUAUACUAAUAUUUAAAAUAUAAGAUAAUUUUCAAUAAAAUAUAACGUAUUAAGUGAUUCACAAAUUUAUAUUGGAAAAAAUAUCGCAUUUCAUUUACGAGAAUAGAAAAAAAAUUCAUACUUAUCUAAAUUUCUGUCAACUGAAAAAUAUCUGCUAUAAAAUAUUUUUCACAAACGCCCUAUAAAAGAAUAUAUUCCAUACUCAUCAAAAAAACAAAAAUCUCUUGAAAAUAUUUAGUAUCCACUAUCUCUCAAUUAACUAACUAAAAAAAAUUAUGUUUGAAAAAUAGAAUGAUUUAAAUAAGCUUAUCAAAUCAACUUUAAAUUUUAAAUUUGGUUCAUAAUUUCAAAUGUGAAUUAAUAUUUUAAUUCAAAAUUUGAAANUCUCUUGAAAAUAUUUAGUAUCCACUAUCUCUCAAUUAACUAACUAAAAAAAAUUAUGUUUGAAAAAUAGAAUGAUUUAAAUAAGCUUAUCAAAUUAAAUUUAUAUUUAUAUUUUAAAUUUAAAUCUGAAUUCAUUAAUUUAAAAUUUAGAAUUACUUAAAAUUUUUUAAAUUUGGAUACACAUUAAAAAAUUAAAGUUAAAAAAAAUAAUUAAUAAAUAGACUUAUACCACCAAUAAUUAUUUAAAUUUAAAAUAUAAAUAUAAAUUUAAUUUAAUUAAAUGUGACGUGCCUAUAACUAGUUUCUCCUAAAUUUAUCACAUGGCAACAUUUCCUUUAUUUUUUAGUGUGAAGUUCAAUCCGAUCUAGCUCAAGUCAUUUCUAUUUUUUUACUUGAACCGAACCGAUCAUUAUUCUGUGCGUGUUCCAAACCGGCUCAAGUUUUCUAUAUGGUUUCUUCUUUUUUUUACUUAAACCUAAUUUGGUUUCUUUUUUUAUUUACUUGAAUUAAACUGAGUCAACCUGUUGCAUUGGGCUGAACCGACCUAGCUGCUCCGCAUGUUUUCAUCUUUAAACCGAAUUUUCUUUUUUUUACUUGAACCAAACCGGCUCAAAUUAUUCUCUCUUUUUUGCUUGAAUCGAACCGAGUUUUCUCCUUUUUUUUUGCUUGAAUCUAAUCAGAUCACACCUCAGUAUUAGGCUUAACUGUUCCUCUCCCUCUUCCUCCGGCUGUUAUCUUUAUUCAUCGGCAUUUUUUCCAUCACCGUUUUUCUUUUUUUGUCGAAGUUUUCUCUUUUUUUGCCAAUUAUCUAUUUGUCUUCCCAUGAAUUACUUCACUAGUAUAUCAUAACAUUUCAAGUUCAAUUCUUACAUAGUUAUUUCACUUAAUUAGAUUUGAUUUUUUUUUAGUUUAUAGUAAAAUUAUAAAAAAUUAUUAUAACUAACUUAACGCAAUUGUUUGCAAUUUCAAAAACGGUCUGAGUUGCUAGGUGUCGCUAGGUCUCAUUUUUUUAUUUUAUUAUUUCAUCUUUAUCUAAAUUCAAUUUUAAUUUAAUGUGUUCCAUUAAUAAAUAAAACUAAACCGUAUAGUUGGGUAUAUAUACAACAGCUGUAUAAAUGAACGGUACCCGAUCUAAUUAACCCCUCCCACCAUAAACUCUACGUACUAUAAUAAUUAUAAAAAAAAAAAAAGAGACAAGAGAGAGAAAAAAAAAAAAAAAACAAUACGAAGUCCAAUUAUCAACCAAAUUACAUAAGGGCUUCUUACAUAUAAUGCUUGCGUGCUUUGACUUAAGCUUCUUAAGAGUUAUUUUAUCACAAUUAAAUAAUUCAAAAAAUAUUCAAAUUAAACUCGUUAGAAAUAUAAUUUUGAAUAUUCAUAAAUUUUCUCUAUAUUAGUUUGAAUUUUACGGUCGACUUAUAACCAAAACUUGAGUCACAUCUGGUGAGUCGACUCACAUUUUUUAUCAUAGUAUCAAAGCUAGCUCGAUACACAUAUUCUUUUUUAAGGAAAAAAAAAGUCAAAUUUCAUUUGAUUCAACUUUUAAACAUUUCUAUGUAUUGAUUGUGCGGAUACAUGCAUCCAAAUCAAUGUGGGUGAAGAUUCAAAUUUUUAGAUUUGAAAAGCCAGGACCAAACUUAAACCUCUCUAAAAGAUCAAGGAUUUUGAAGCAAUUUACCUCUUAGUUAAUAAGUUAAAUUAAAAGGUCCCAACAUGGAAGCCACGUUUUAAUGUGCGCAGAUUUUAUCGGACAUUUAUUAUAUAAAUAAUAUAAAUUUUAAAGUCGCAUGAAUGACAAAUAGGAUAGCUUUAUGUUUAGAACUGUCCCCAUCAUUUUUUUUUUUUUAUUUUUGUGAACAAAAUUUUGGUGGGGUUAGGCCAUUUUGAAGUAGGCCUCCAAACUUCAAAAUUUUGAAUUAGCACCCUCUCCAUUUUCAUUUAUUUUGAUCUUAAUUAUUUUAGCCAUAGAUACAUAAUUAUCAGCAAACUUUACAUUUUCUUCGAUUAAAAGCAGUUAAACCCAUGAAAUUUGACAGAAUUAUUCAUGAAUAUAAAAAAAUUAUAAUAUAGUUGACUAAACUAACUCAAAUUAAAAGAAAAAAAUAGGUACAAAUGUAUCAAGAAUAUCUUUUCUGUGUUUUAUUUCUUUGUUUGAGAAUCUCUCAACUUCUAAUUUGUUUUGUUUGUGUUUUCAUACACAGUUUCGGUAACAAGUGUAUCAAACUUAAUAACGUCUCUAUUAAUUAUUAAUCAUAAUUUUAUUUUAUUUUAUUUUCUAAAUAAUAAAUGAUACUAAAUUUGAUAAAAUAUCUAAUAAUUUUUUUAAAAUAAAUUUUAACGAAAAUUAUUUUACUCAAAAAAAAUUUGAGGGGUCAUUGAACAUAUUUCUACAUAAAAAGUAAAAGAAAUAUCAAUAAAAAUGCAAAGUUUGGGCCUAUUUCAAAUUUUUCUGUACUUGAGGGUUCUCCAUACUUUUUUAUUCUUUUUGUUUAGUUGACAAAGUGAGAUUCAGAUCCACACGCCAAAUUAAAAAAAAAAAAAGAAAAAAAAAAAGAGGUGUACAACUGAAGAUACUAAAUAAAACUCUAGGCAUUGGUUGGUGAGCUGAGGAUGUUGACAUUUUCUUAAUACAUUUGUACAAUAUUUAGCCCGAAUCAUAUAGUAUGACGUGGCCAUUACCCAUUUGAUGUUGACAAAAACAGUGCCUCAAACAUCUAUGAAUACGAAAUAAGGAUUUAUUAUUCUUGUUCUAAAAGAUGACCUAACUUAUUCCAACUUGAUGUACACUUCCAAAUAUAGCAUGUUGGUUUAUUCACUUAUAAAUUCCUCCACGCAACGCAAGUUGCAAAUUGAUGUGGUAGAGAGCAAGGGAGCAAUCUACGUCAUGGUUGAAAAAAAUUGUUUCGAACAUCUUUUUAAGUUAUCUCGGAUGUUCAUUUUAAGAGAUCAGAGAUUCGAUUAUCUGCUAAUGUGAUUACAUAAUAGGAAAAAAUGUAUGCGAAUAUAGAAAAGAAUCUCCGGAUUAGACCUAUGGUGAAUUUUAGAUCUUAUUUAGCACCUCUUUCUUUUUUGUCAUUUAAAUAUUUAUAUACGUUGAAGGAUCGAUGCAUCUGUCUUUAAUCGGUAUAAAAAUUAUUUAUUAAUGAAAAAUAAUAUAUAGUAAAUGUUUAGUUUUCUAAAAAGAUAUUAUUUUAAAUCAAAUCAGUGUGCGACAAGCUCCCAAUAAUAACAAGAAUAGAAGGACUCUUAUCUUAUGCAUACAAUUACCUAAUUUUGGGUUAGUGAGAGGUCUAUACGUAAAUAUCAAAAGGUUUUGUCUUCAAGCAUCAUUGAAACUUAGGUUGUUUUUGAAAGUUAGGUUCAAGUUAGGAAUGCAAACCGGACGAAUUUGAGGGCAGGAACGUUUUUUUUUUUUGGGAGGAUCGACUAAAGUGGAUUCAGAAUAGAUUAAUUUUUAUCUUAUGUUGUUAUCUGCACAUAUGGUUUUAUUCUGGACGGGUUAGGAGGGAGGCGAAUUUUUGGCAGAUAUAUAUGCUACAGAUUGGAGUAGAUUAAGAAAAGGAAGGCAUCUCUCACCUACGUCAUUUCCUCAACAGAUCAUGGCAAUUUUUUUUUUUUUAUUUUUGAUAUCAUUUACUGUAUUAUUUGGAGUAGAGAGAGAAAGUCUGGCUACUAUACUCUUAUGAGUAUAGGCCUUUUGGUACUCAUAAGUUUUCGACUGUUAGAUCUACCCAUUUAAUUAUUUUCAUCCGUUAGAUCAUACUAUUUAACCAACCACCCACUAAAUUUUAGGAAACUAUUAUUACUGUAACUACACAUCCCUUCAUCCAAUGGUCGAAAAUUUAUAAGUCUAAAAGGAUUUAUAUUUAUAAAAGUACAGUAGUAAGGCUACUAUACUCUUUUGAGUAUUGACUAUUUCAAUCAUCAUCCUCUGUAGAAUUUUCGAAGAUAAUUGAUGAUCAACUGAAGAUGAAAAAGCGACAGAUGAUCAUAUCUCUCUAGCUAAUUAGACAUUUUCAGUUUCUAAUAGCUGUUUCUCUGUGCAACUCAACCUCUUUGAUAGAUUGUUCAAACAAAGAAAAGUAUUGCGACAUAUUUUUUACUAUUUCUAAUCAUGUAAAAUACUUAUAAUAAAAAAAUAAUAAUUUCAUGUAUAUAAAAAAGAUUAUCCAUUUGUGUUUUUCAAAAUUUUUUUUGUGGCAACUGCAAACCGAAAAAAAACUGAAAACAUCUAAUUUCCCUUUUCUCACUUUCUGGCCCAUUUCGUACAUAAUGGUGGCCUAAAUCUGUCGAGUCAAUAAGAUUUCGAGCGAAAAGCAUAUAAAAGUAUGUUUUUUUAAAAAAAAUUUAAGUAAAACAAUGGAAAUUAUAUCUAAUCCGUGUUUUCUCAAAGCGUGUAAUGGCUAAAAUUUUAAAAAUUCUUCUAUAAAUACUUUUUUUUUUCACUUUUUAUUCCUGACUUUUAAAAAGAAAUAUUUUAUUUUUUAAAAAAUUUUAGAAAUAUUUUUACACAAUUACGACGUUAACAAAGAGAGCGAAAUGAUCAAAUUACUCUUAUACUUGUUAUUAAAAAAAAAAUAGUGUAUUUCUGCUAUUUUAAUGAAUAUUUUUUGUAUAAUAUGCAGUAGACGGAACUGUGAUAGAAUCAACUUGUAAUUUUGUAAAAAUUACAAAAUAAAAAUUUUUAAAAAUAGAAAAAAGUAAGAUAAAUAUUUAUACCUUUUUUUUUU